rnacentral:rRNA from 1 species
CUAAGCGUGAAACCUUCCACAAGAUGAGUUUACUUUUAAGGGUCGUCAAAGACUAUGACGUUGAUAGGCUAUAGGUGUAAAGUUGGUAACAACAAAGCCAAGUAGUACUAAUUGCCCGUAAGCUUUAUUUUUUUU